UACGUAGGGUGCAAGCGUUGUUCGGAAUUACUGGGCGUAAAGGGCUCGUAGGUGGCCAACUAAGUCAGACGUGAAAUCCCUCGGCUUAACCGGGGAACUGCGUCUGAUACUGGAUGGCUUGAGUUUGGGAGAGGGACGCGGAAUUCCAGGUGUAGCGGUGAAAUGCGUAGAUAUCUGGAGGAACACCGGUGGCGAAGGCGGCAUCCUGGACCAACACUGACGCUGAGGAGCGAAAGCCAGGGGAGCAAACGGG
rnacentral:rRNA from 1 species